GUACUUCUGAAGAGUCUCACAAUACGACGAAAUGGCCAUUCAGUAC
rnacentral:hammerhead_ribozyme from 1 species